UGCCAGAGCCAUAUCACCCUGCAGUUCUCGCCUGGUUUCCCACUGAAGCUAAUUGAGCCUGGCCAGUACCUGGAUGGGAGACCUUCCUGGGGAAAACUAAGGUUGCUGCUGUAA
rnacentral:rRNA from 1 species